rnacentral:rRNA from 1 species
AGAGCACAGGGGGAAUGCCCUGGCACUGAGAGCCGAAGAAGGACGUGACAAGCUGCGAAAAGCCGCGGGUAGGCGCAAAUAGCCGAAGAACCGUGGAUGUCCGAAUGGGGAAACCCGGCAACCAGGAAACGGUUGUCACCGUUAAGUGAAUCCAUAGCUUAACGGGGGGAGACGAGGGGAACUGAAACAUCUAAGUACCCUCAGGAAGAGAAAACAAAAGUGAUUCCGCAAGUAGUGGCGAGCGAACGCGGAAGAGCCCAAACCGCCCUGCAGAAAUGGAGAGCGGGGUAAGGACCAGCGGAAUUGAGAGAGGAACGAGGAGAAGAGCGGAUUGAAAGCCGCCGCCGAAGAGGGUGAUAGCCCCGUAACCGAAGGGAAUCGAACAAGGCUGGAGUCCGGAGUACCACGAGACACGAGGAAUCUAGUGGGAAAGAGGGAGGACCACCUCCCAAGGCUAAAUACUACUCAGUGACCGAUAGAGGAAAGUACCGUGAGGGAAAGGUGAAAAGAACCCCGGGAGGGGAGUGAAAGAGAAUCUGAAACCCUGUGUUUACAAGCAGUCAGAGGGCAUUAAAGCCCGAUGGCGUACUUUUUGUAGAACGGUCCGGCGAGUUAUUGUACGUGGCGAGGUUAAGUACUAAAGGUACGGAGCCGAAGCGAAAGCGAGUCUGAAUAGGGCGCGAAGUCACGUGUAAUAGACCCGAAACCGGGUGACCUACCCAUGGACAGGUUGAAGCCUGAGUAAAAUCAGGUGGAGGACCGAACAGGUGUCUGUUGAAAAAGGCUCUGAUGAGCUGUGGGUAGCGGAGAAAUUCCAAACGAACUCGGAGAUAGCUGGUUCUCCCCGAAAUAGCUUUAGGGCUAGCCUCGGAUUAUUCUAAUGGAGGUAAAGCACUGAAUGGGCUAGGGGCCUUACCAGGUUACCGAACCCUAUCAAACUAAGAAUGCCAUAUAGAAGAUGUCCGGGAGUCAGACUGCGAGAGAUAAGUCCCGUAGUCGAAAGGGAAACAGCCCAGACCGCCAGCUAAGGUCCCAAAGUGAUGGUUAAGUGGAAAAGGAUGUGGGUUUGCUAAGACAGCUAGGAUGUUGGCUUAGAAGCAGCCACUCAUUCAAAGAGUGCGUAAUAGCUCACUAGUCGAGUGAGCCUGCGCCGAAGAUGUACGGGGCUAAACCAUCCACCGAAGCUGCGGAAUGUCGAAUGACAUUGGUAGGGGAGCGUAGUGUAGUAGAGAGAAGCAUGACGGGAACGACAUGUGGACGAGGCAGUAGUGAGAAUGCCGGAAUGAGUAGCGAGAGUGAAGUGAGAAUCUUUACCGUCGAAAACCCAAGGUUUCCUGGGGAAGGUUCGUCCGCCCAGGGUAAGUCGGGACCUAAGCUGAGGCCGAGAGGCGUAGGUGAUGGAUAACAGGCGGAAAUUCCUGUACCGACGGUACACGUAUAAGAGAAGCGGGGACACAGGAGGAUAAGUGGAUCCGGCAGCAGGGAAAGCCGGAGUAAAGGAAGUAGAUAGAGACGUAGUGAAGUACGCGUCUUGUUUCGAAGGCCUGACGCGGAGCUCAAAUGGGAGCGAAGCCACAGAUUCCACACUGGCGAGAAAAGCCGCUAUUUAGUGUACAGUCGCCCGUACCGUAAACCGACACAGGUAGGUGAGGAGAGAAUCCUGAGACGAUCGGGAGAAGUGUUGUUAAGGAACUCGGCAAAUUAACCCCGUAAGUUAGCGAUAAGGGGAGCCUAGAGAUAGGCCGCAGAGAAAUGGCCCAAGCAACUGUUUACCAAAAACACAGGUCUCUGCUAAAUCGAAAGAUGAAGUAUAGGGGCUGACGCCUGCCCGGUGCUGGAAGGUUACGGGAAUCUGUAAGCGCAAGCGAAGCAGUGAACUUAAGCCCCAGUAAACGGCGGCCGUAACUAUAACGGUCCUAAGGUAGCGAAAUUCCUUGUCAGGUAAGUUCUGACCCGCACGAAUGGCGUAAUGAUUUGGGCACUGUCUCAACAGCACACCCGGUGAAAUUGUAGUACUUGUAAAGAUGCAAGUUACCCGCGAUUAGACGGAAAGACCCCAUGGAGCUUCACUGCAGGCUGAUAUUGGGUUCCGGUAUUUUCUGUACAGGAUAGGUGGGAGACAGAGAAGUAUGCACGCCAGUGCAUAUGGAGUCGACGUUGGGAUACCACUCUGAGAAUACUGGAGCUCUAACCCGGUACCAUGGAACUGGUACGGGGACACUGUCAGUCGGGCAGUUUGACUGGGGCGGUCGCCUCCCAAAGAGUAACGGAGGCGCCCAAAGGUUACCUCAGCGCAGUUGGAAAUUGCGUGAUAGAGUGCAAAGGCAGAAGGUAGCCUAACUGAGAGGCUGACAAGCCGAACAGGUACGAAAGUAGGGCUUAGUGAUCCGGCGGUAUGAAAGUGGAAUUGCCGUCGCUCAACGGAUAAAAGCUACCCUGGGGAUAACAGGCUUAUCUCCCCCAAGAGUUCACAUCGACGGGGAGGUUUGGCACCUCGAUGUCGGCUCAUCGCAUCCUGGAGCUGUAGCAGGUUCCAAGGGUUUGGCUGUUCGCCAAUUAAAGCGGUACGCGAGCUGGGUUCAGAACGUCGCGAGACAGUUCGGUCCCUAUCUGUCGUGGGCGUAGGAUAUUUGAGGGGAACUGUCCUUAGUACGAGAGGACCGGGAUGGACGAACCUCCGGUGUACCAGUUGUUCCACCAGGAGCAUAGCUGGGUAGCCGAGUUCGGAUCGGAUAAACGCUGAAAGCAUCUAAGCGUGAAGCCGGCCCCAAGAUGAGAUAUCCCAUCGAAAGAGUAAGACCCCACAAAGACUAAGUGGUUGA